CCUACGGGUGGCAGCAGUGGGGAAUAUUGGGCAAUGGGCGCAAGUCUGACGCAGCAACGCCGCGUGAAGGAAGAAGGCUUUCGGGUUGUAAACUUCUUUUAAGAGGGAAGAGCAGAAGACGGUACCUCUUGAAUAAGCCACGGCGAACUACGUGCCAGCAGCCGCGGUAAUACGUAGGUGGCAAGCGUUGUCCGGAUUUACUGGGUGUAAAGGGCGUGUAGCCGGGCUGACAAGUCAGAUGUGAAAUUCCAGGGCUCAACCCCGGACCUGCAUUUGAUACUAUUGGUCUUGAGUAUCGGAGAGGCAGGCAGAAUUCCUAGUGUAGCGGUGAAAUGCGUAGAUAUUAGGAGGAACACCAGUGGCGAAGGCGGCCUGCUGGACGACAACUGACGGUGAGGCGCGAAAGCGUGGGGAGCAAACAGGAUUAGAUACCCCAGUAGUC
rnacentral:rRNA from 1 species